rnacentral:rRNA from 1 species
UACGUAGGUGACAAGCGUUGUCCGGAUUUACUGGGCGUAAAGAGCGCGCAGGCGGUCGAUCAAGUCGAGUGUGAAAGCCCCCGGCUCAACUGGGGAGGGUCAUUCGAUACUGAUCGACUCGAAGGCAGGAGAGGGUAGUGGAAUUCCCGGUGUAGUGGUGAAAUGCGUAGAGAUGUGGAGGAACACCAGUGGCGAAGGCGGCUCUCUGGGACGGUACUGACGCUGAGACGCGAAAGCGUGGGGAGCAAACAGG